rnacentral:lncRNA from 1 species
UCUGUCUUCUUGGUUUCGCCUGUUCUGGAUAUUUCGUGUAAAUAAGAUCAUACACUACGUGGUCUUUCGUGACUGGCUUCUUUCACUUAGCAUGAUGUUUUCAAGGUCCAUCCACGCUGCGGCAUGCAUUAGCACUUAUUGCUGAAAAAUAUUCCAUUGUAUGGAUAUGACAUAUUUGCUGUAUCCAUGCAUCUAUUGAUGGAUAUAUGGCGUGGGCCAUGUGGGCUUGUCCACACUUAGACUUUACCUUUCAAUGAAUCCCCAGAUCCAACCCUGAAAUAUACCCGUGUUAGGGGAAGGGGGGUGGGUUUUCUUUUCUUUCUUUCUUUCUUUUUUUUUUGAGAUGGAGUUUCAUUCUUGUUGCCCAGGCUGGAGUGCAAUGGCGUGAUCUCAGCUCACUGCAAUCUCCACCUCCCGGGUUCAAGUGAUUAUCCUGCCUCAGCCUCCUGCAUAGCUGGGAUUACAGGUGCCCGCCACCAUGCCCCGCUAAUUUUUUAAAAUAUUUUUUGCAGAGAUGGGGUUUCACCAUGUUGGCCAGGAUGAUUUCUAACUCCUGAUCUCAAGUGAUCCUCAAGUGGUCCGCCUGC